GGACUCUGUUGGCUGCGGUCCACCCAGAGUUUCCGUUUGAUUGGCUCCUCUCCCCCACGAAUAGUGGGGCUGUGAGUGGGGCAGCAGGUCCUGAGUGUGGGGCUCUGGCUCUUUCAGGGGCCGGUGACCUUCGAGGAGGUGGCUGUGUAUUUCACCAGGGAAGAGGGGGCUCUGCUGGACCCCGCUCAGAGAGCCCUCUACAGAGACGUCAUGCAGGAGACCUAUGAGAAUGUGACCUCGCUGGAAACAAGGAUUUUCAGGCUGUGGAAAUGAUGGUAACCAAUGAGGCAACGAACGUGUCCGGUUCCAAUUUCAGACUUCCAGAUACUCGCAUGUUGAGUCCUGAUUCUCUGGUUUUGUGUCUGAUGCUCCGGCUUCACAAUAAAGCUGAUGUUGGCACAGCUGC